GGAGGAUGCAAGUGUUAUCCGGAAUUAUUGGGCGUAAAGCGUCUGUAGGUGGUUUAAAAAGUCCAUGGUUAAAACUUGAAGCUUAACUUCAAAGAUGCCAUGGAAACUUUUAAACUUGAGUAUGGUAGGGGUAAAGGGAAUUUCCAGUGGAGCGGUGAAAUGCGUAGAUAUUGGAAAGACCACCGACGGCGAAGGCACUUUACUGGGCCAUUACUGACACUAAGAGACGAAAGCUAGGGGAGCAAAUGGGAUUAGAUACCCCAGUAGUCCUAGCUGUAAGCGAUGGAUACUAGAUGUUGUGUGUAUUGACCCAUGCAGUAUCGUAGCUAACGCGUUAAGUAUCCCGCCUGGGAAGUAUGCUCGCAAGAGUG
rnacentral:rRNA from 1 species